AAGCGGCGGAAAGAGUCCCUGCUCCGCGAGGCCAGGUGUCGGAAGGAGGAGGUGCGCUUGAAGGGGGUGCGGCUGGCGGGCUCCCCGCUGUGCCGCUGGGCGCCCACUGUGGCCGUCACUAGGUGGAGGGCCUCCUGAAAGGACCGCCUCACCGUGCCCACCCAUUGGGUCAUGUGCGUCUGAGCCACAGCCAGUCUGUCACCCAGGGGCUAAUGGGGACCUCACGUGCUUGACAGCCUACCCGCCCUGGAUCCGCACCACAAGGAAAUGUGGCUGCCGGCUGCCUCCCAGACUUUCUCUGCUGGGCAGCCAGGAUCCCAGAGAGCCCAAGUUUCCCAUAAAGAUGGAUCUGGAGCGGCAGCAUUUUGGGGGUCCAGGUCCCUGCCCCUUCUACAAGAGGGGAUUCACUGGCCCGAGGCCACACAGUGAGGCUCCACCAAGGAACUGCUUCCUCUUUGCUGCUUCCUGCAAGGCCAACGCGGCACUGACCCUCAGUGAGGGCGGCCACCGUCUUCCUCACCUCUCUUCCUCCUCUCACCCCUCCUCCUCAGGGUCCACCUCUCUCCACUGAACCUUUCCCUCCCUCAUUAAACCAUGGCAGCACCUCCUCUGCGCCUCAGUGGUGGUGGUGGUGGUGGCGGCGAUCCAGAGACAAGAGUGGCCCUGGCUAGGUGGCGGAGGGCCCCAGGACUCUGGGGUGGCUGCUGACGCCAUAGUGCAGGGGACAAGGCCUCCUCAGCAAGCACAAAUAUCCACUCAUGAGUGCCCACAGGAACUCAUAAGCUAUAGGGGGAGACCAAGAGCCAGACAGCCAAACCCCCCACAAGGUCCUGUGGGCUGCUGGCCGCACUGCAGAGCCCCCCCGGUCCUUGCUCUUCUUAUUACCUGCCUCCCAGCAGUCCCUCCCACAAAGAAUCAAGGUGGGCUCCUGGCUCCAAGGCGGGGCUAGGGGAGGCCUACAGCACCAUGGAGUGGCUGCAGCUGACAGCCAGUGAGUGGCACUGUGGUCCCCUGUCCCCAGUCCAACCCUCAGAGGAAGCCUGAGCCGGCAUCUUGACCACACUCGUGGGAACACAGGGCAUCCCAAGCCAAACCACUGUGACUUCUGGGCCACACAAAUCACCUGGGGUACAAAUGCCCUGUGGUAAGACAGGGCUUUGUCCACCAGAAACUGAAGGUGAACGUGGCGGUGAAGAGGGGGCACUCCACAGAAGAGGGCCUGUCACCACAGCCCAGGUCACAGCAGCAUGCAGACCAGGAAACUCGCUCACACCCCCACACCCCCACACCUUCGAGCCGCCAACGCUCGUCUGUUUUCUUCCCACAGAGAUCUGUAGCAAGCUCCCGUCUCAGGCCACUUCACAGCCUGGGGCUCCCUUGCCAAAUUGGUCAGGCGGCUUUCAGGGCACAGGUGGGGACAGAGAGCUUCUCUCUACCUGGCCACAGGAGAGCCACUCUGGACAUCCUUACCGAGCCAGCAUCUGGACACAGGUGUGAAAUCUACUGGGGACCAUUCCAAGCUUCAGGAGGAGGGAAGGCGGGGCGUGUCUGAAGCAAUCACAGCUUUGACUGCGAUGCAGCAUGGACCAGUGGUGACAGAAAUGCACAUCUGUGCACGCACCUUGCAGGAAGCUGAACGCCCUGGGUCAAAGGUUUAAAAAAUAUCAGUGUGUGGCUGGGCAUGGUGGCGCAUGCCUUUAAUCCCAGUACUCAGAAGGCAGAGGUAGGAGGAUCACGGGGAGUUCGAGGCCACCCUGACUCCAUAGUGAAGUCCAGGUCUGCCUGGGCUAGAGUGAGACCCUGCCUAGAAACACAAACAAACAAACAAAAAAAUCAGUGUGCCCGGCACUUUGAGGUUCAGGAUCAGUGUGUGCUGAUAACAUAUACUUUACCUUGAAAGCAUUUAAACACAGCACCAUGGGUGAAUGGCAGGGUUCUCAUAGAGCAGACACUGUAAAGCAUCAGGACUUGAAGAAUCUAACUGGUAGGAGGCUCUCUGUUUCCCACACCAUGGCUCUGUAGUUGCAGAAUUUGGGGAGAUAAAAUGUUUGUUCUGGGGGGAUGCACCUGACCGCUGACCCCUUGGGUCAUGACUGGACUAAGAUGGCUGCAGGUGGAUGCUCUGCUUUCACUGUAGUGACGUAGGCGUAAGAAUAAUUAGUAAGAACCAAGCCAUUCAGCAAGAAGGAACAGGUCUGAAGCUGUGCCAGGCCAUACUGGAAACAGACGUAAAAAGAAAAAGAAUCCAUGAAACUGAUCCUUUCUUUCUUUCUUUGAUCUUGUUUUUCUUUAUAGUACUGAUUGUUCUCCAUGGGUGUUUGC